UACGGAGGGUGCAAGCGUUAUCCGGAUUCACUGGGUUUAAAGGGUGCGUAGGAGGGCAGGUAAGUCAGUGGUGAAAUCCCCGAGCUUAACUUGGGGAACUGCCCGUUGAUACUAUCUGUCUUGAAUACCGUGGAGGUGAGCGGAAUAUGUCAGUGUAGCGGUGAAAUGCUUAGAUAUGACAUAGAACACCAAUUGCGAAGGCAGCUC
rnacentral:rRNA from 1 species